rnacentral:rRNA from 1 species
GUCGAGAAUAAUUCACAAUGGACGAAAGUCUGAUGGUGCAACGCCGCGUGGAGGAUGAAGGUCUUCGGAUUGUAAACUCCUGUCAUCGGGGAGUAAGACCUGGCGGUAAAUAGCCGACAGGGUUGAUAGUACCCGAAGAGGAAGGGACGGCUAACUUCGUGCCAGCAGCCGCGGUAAUACGAAGGUCCCAAGCGUUGUUCGGAAUCACUGGGCGUAAAGGGAGCGUAGGCGGCGUGGUAAGUCAGGUGUGAAAUCCCGGGGCUCAACCCCGGAACUGCACCCGAUACUGCCAUGCUUGAGGGUUGGAGAGGUAGCUGGAAUUCUCGGUGUAGCAGUGAAAUGCGUGGAUAUCGAGAGGAACACUCGUGGCGAAGGCGAGCUACUGGACAACAUCUGACGCUGAGGCUCGAAGGCCAGGGGAGCAAAAGGGAUUAGAAACCCCGGUAGUCC